AGAGGAAGGCAUGCUUGAGCAAAUCAUAUACAAAGGUUUAGCAUUCAACUGGCUGCCGGCUGCUGUCAUGAUUUAUUGCUUCCUUGUAGAUCUGGGAUUCAAGUGGUUGGAUUAUUAGGAAAAUUCACACGAGGACCACUUUGCUGUUUGCACGUCGUUAAGGUGGUAAUUAAUAUCGAAUUUUGGUUUUUGGCGCUUUUAGAAAAAAUAGAAAGCUUGCAUUUGCUAAUGGAAGGAUUUUUGGUUUUGAGGGUACAUGAGACUGAAUUCUCAAGAGAAAGAGCUCAUGACAAUGUCGGGAGCCUGUAGAUUUAUAUAUAUGAGGCUAUAAUGCAAAUGCAAGGGUUUGGAUGUUUGGAUUGUCUUCCAACAACCUAACCGUAGGGAAGGUGAAUAAUCUCCGGAAGUAAAAUUUACCUCUUCUGACCAAACUAAUUUAUAUAUUUACUUUCUUUCCUGUUUCAUUUACGUUGUAAAUCUUCUUUGUUAUUAGUAUUCUCAGUUUUAGUGGGGAAGAUUUGAUGAUAGGCAUUUACAUAGCAGAGCAAAUUGUUUUUACAUCGACCUAGCCAGUUCUUACUGACGUUGCUAUGAUGUUGCUCUGAAUUUCGGACAUGGUGAAGUUUUGUGCUUCUGUAUUUAGAACUAUAUCUAUCAAUCAUUCAAGUUUUGAAUGAAAUAUUCUGGAAAUAAUGAUGGAAA
rnacentral:lncRNA from 1 species